UACGAAGGGGGCUAGCGUUGCUCGGAAUCACUGGGCGUAAAGCGCACGUAGGCGGCUUCUUAAGUCAGGGGUGAAAUCCUGGAGCUCAACUCCAGAACUGCCUUUGAUACUGAGGAGCUUGAGUCCGGGAGAGGUGAGUGGAACUGCGAGUGUAGAGGUGAAAUUCGUAGAUAUUCGCAAGAACACCAAUGGCGAAGGCGGCUCACUGGCCCGGUACUGACGCUGAGGUGCGAAAGCGUGGGGAGCAAACAGG
rnacentral:rRNA from 1 species